GACCCGCCACUCCCUCCUUCCUCGGUCUGCCCGCCUCUCCACUCUGUCGCCGUGCGCUCCGCUCACCAGUCACCAGCACUCCAGCAGUUUCAUCGCCUGAUCGCCUCUCCUCUCUUCUCCGCUUCCGAUGGCCGCCAUCGCCUUCUCCACCGCUCCAAACCCCAAGCCCACGCCCUUCUCCUCCGCUUACCCGUCCUCUAUCGCGCACCCCUUCGCCGUCUGCCUCCAACGGCGGCGGUGGCGGCGUCCGUUCCCGGCUCUCAGAUCCCAGCCCUCUGCCUCCGCCUCCGUCUCAACCUCACACCAUGACGUGGUCGUUGUGGGUGCCGGGAUCGUCGGGCUCUCCAUCGCCCGCCACCUCCUCCUCAACACCCCGCUCUCCGUCGCCGUCGCCGACGCCGCCGUCCCGUGCUCAGGCGCCACCGGCGCAGGGCAGGGGUACGUAUGGAUGUCGCACCGGACGCCUGGGAGUGACACGUGGGAGCUGGCGGUGCGGAGCAAGCAGCUGUGGGAGGAGCUCGCGGACGAGAUGGAUGGCCUCGGCGGCGGAGGUGCGCGUGAGAGUCUGGGCUGGAUGAAGACAGGGAGCUUAUUAGUUGGAAGAACCUCUGAAGAGCUGGCUACACUGGAGGAGAAGACCAAGGUUUUCUGUCAGGCAGGCGUACAUGCGGAGUGUUUGUCUGCUUCUUCAUUGCGUUUAUUAGAACCCGCACUCUCUGUCGGAAAUGAAGGUGGUGCUAUGCUCUUGCCUAAAGACCGCCAGAUUGAUGCAUUCCGAGCCGUGUCUUCGAUUGAAAAGAUUAAUAGCUCAUAUUCCCCAGAAGGGAGAUAUAUGGCGCUCUACAAUGAUCCUGCCAUGUCAUUGAUAAGAUCAGAGGUUACUGGAAGAGUUGAAGCUGUCCAAACUUCUAAGAACAUAUUAUAUGGCAGAAAAGCUAUUGUGGUUGCUUCUGGUGCUUGGACUCGUUCGUUAUUGCAUAAUUUCCUAGGACCAAAUUCCACAUUGGAUAUUCCUGUCAAACCACGAAAGGGUCAUCUGCUUGUGUUGGAGAAAUUCGACAAGCUUAAGCUCAGUCAUGGCAUAAUGGAGCUAGGAUAUGUUGACCAUCAAGAUGUUAAGUUAAAUAGCGUACCCUUGUCGUCAAAAUCCAAUGAAGAUGAGCAUGAUGAUUUAUCCAUAUCAAUGACUGCAACAUUAGAUACGAAGGGCAAUUUGGUUCUAGGUAGCAGCCGAGAGUUUAAAGGAUUUUCGAGGGAGGUUGACAGGUCUAUACUUAAGUGUAUUUGGGACCGUGCAGGGGAGUUCUUUCCUGCAUUGACCAAUGUUCAUCUUGAUAUUGAGCAGAACACAGAUAUCAGAGUCGGGCACCGUCCUUAUAUGCCUGAUGGAAAGCCAGUUAUUGGCUUUGUUCCGGAUCUGUCAAAUGUUUUGAUUGCAACAGGACAUGAAGGAAGUGGACUUGCUUUGCCCUUCACUGUGAUGAGGUCCAACUUUUGGGUUUCCAUAUGCAUAAGAUGGGAGUAGCAAAUGCUGGUGCCAUCUAGAGAGCAGAAUAAAGCUAAAGGCUAAGGGCAUUUUCUUGUCAUGCAUGAUCAAGCUUUAUCUCCUUCGAUUAUGUGCCAUUUACUUGCUAAUAUUGGCACUCUGAACCAACCUACCUACAGAUAGCUUAAAUCAGGCAUUAGGUACUGCUGAAAUGGUCACGGAUAUGAUUAUUGAUAAUCCUGGAAGAGUGGAUUUCACACCUUUCUCCAUUGAAAACAGAUUUUCAGGAUGACCAUUUAUCCAGAGGCCCUCCUUGAGCUCCUCAAGCGUCAAACUACCGUUCUUGUCCUUGUCCAUCGUAUGGAACAUCUGAGUGUAGUUGUUGAUCUCCUCCACCGGUAAAUUCUUGGCAACGAUCUUGGUUAAUCAUAGGGAAACGGUUCACAUCAAAGUACAUCGCACUGGAAAGAAAUUAAGAACAAUAAUGCCCCAGUUCUGUGCAACUUACACCAAGUGCCUUCUUUUUGAACUUGUUCAUGGAUGAGAAUUGCUUCAGCCUGGAUCGAACAAGCUCUCCGAGCGACACAUUUGGAGCCUUAUCGGCAUUCUUGAUCCAUGGAUGCUCUGUUUUGUAUGAGAAAACUCUUCAGUACGUAAUGCUAUUCCCUGUGCAUCACUAGUCUCCACGUUUUUCAAUAAUAUCAAGAACAAAACAAAUUUGUAGCAAACUUCCAGUAUGUCUGCAUGUGGAUUAUGAAUGCACCGUGUUUGUCUGUGAA